GUGGCCAUGAGAAGCUGUGAUCCUAAGCGCUCCUGAAGAAAGAAUCUUGCUGAUAUGCUACCUCCACAUUUGAUACUGUCAAACUGGGCAGAAACAAACCCCAGGAGCCAGGGGGUACACACUUCCCUUGCAGGAGCCUCCAGCACAAAGACUACAGGGGCCAGAGGCAGCCCCUUUCAGCCAAGCCCCUCAGACCUCUGACAGCACGGGAUCAAGAGUCAAACCUGCCCUAGCUCGGCGUUUGCAAGAUGUCUCAGUCCCUUAAAGAUAACCUGCAAAAGCCGUCAGCGUCUUACAACUCUGACAGCUUCACGCAUUGCUUAUUGCUCAUGAAACGGUCAUGACCUGUCCAUUCCCAAGAGUGUGUUCUCAAACACUGGAUCGCAGCACCCACACCCAUCUUCACAGCUGUGGUUCCCAUUGGAGCCUCUUGCCAAGCAGAGAGAUCACCAGAUGUGCUGCUCAGGAUGAAGACCUUUACUGAGAAACAGCUUGCUGCAUUGUACC